UGGGUGUACAGAAUUCAGUCACUUAAUAUCUAUUCAAGUCAAAUAAUUAAUUUUUAGGUUUUAGCUUCUGUUUUGUCCUCACCAGUCAUACUGGAAAUCAUCACUGUGCUGACUGGGAGAGGGUCUCCAUUUGGGAAGGCAGGAGCCAUUGAUAAUGUCCUCCAGAUUUACACUUUCGGAAAUUCCUCAGAGACACUCUUCUCUCAGAUGAAUCCGUCCACUAGAAAACCAGUGCCCAGUGUCUUCUGAGGUGAGGCAGGACAUUUGUACAAGUGGAGGCAGGCGUAAGGCUGACCUCCCUUCUGCCCAGCUCUUUUUCCAUUAUAGUACUCCUUUGUGCAAGAAGAUGGUGACACUGUCUGUCUUCUCGUUCAUCUUCUGUCUCUUCACAGUCCGAUUACUCAUUUCCCCUCAGCUUUGAACCAUCUCAUCAUAAGCCAAGCUUGCACCUCCCACUGCAUUUGCUUAAGAAAGCAUAAUAACGAUGAUAACAAGAACCCUUAAAAUGGCAUAUCCACUGUCAUAUCCAUUUGUAGCUAUCUCUCUCACUGUUGGAGAAAUGGCAGCUAUGAAGAAAGGCUGUCUUCCUAGGCCCGUUUAAAAAACCUGCUCCAUCCUAUUUCUAGGCAUUGACUUUACUAUCAAAGUAUCCUUUGCUGAACUUAAUCGUUUUCAAUACUCAUGAAGCUUUCAAGGAAGAGUGGGCUGAACUAACUUGGAAACUCUCCUGGUGUGAAUGAGCUGUCUGCAGCAGAACAUUUUCAAAAAUGAAAUGCACUUGAAAUGCACCUGAAAGCCUAAAUGAGUAAAGUUGGUAAGAACUGCAGCAAAGAGCAUCUUCAUGGAAGUUACAUGAUCGACAAAUUGCAAGAAUACAUUUUUGAAGCAUUUGGCCUACACUCCAACAGCCUGGGUUAAUUAGAACAAAAUUUAAUUUGCGAUAAUCAGCUAGUGGCAAGGAGAGCAUGAAAUUAUGCUGGUGCAUUAGUUUUUGCACUUUGCAGUGUAUUUCCUUAUAAAUCAGUAUUUUUAAACUUAUCUUUGGGUUACAGAACAUACAGCACAGCAAACUUUUUAUUAAAAAU